CUCAUCUUUUUAAGUGGGAGAACUUGCACAAUUGGUGGCUGACUAAAUACUUUUUUGCCCCACUGUAUUUACUUAGGCUACACUUUGCAGUAUGAAAUCAGCUGGUUUGUGUGUAGAAAUAUUAAUGCAAGAAUGUAUGUAUAUUACACUAUUGCAGAUGUAUUGUGUGUGUGUGUGUGUUAUGAGUGCAGAUAUAUACAAAUAUAAGAUGGACACUUUUGUUGAUCUAAAUACCUUGUAUUUUUGGACCACAGUAAUUCAAGGCGCUCUUUCCCGGUCUAUGCCAUUCCAAAUAUCCUCCAGCUCCUCUUCCUCCUCCUCAAACUGCCAAUGAUCAGGAUGAAUAUGAUCUGGUUCUCUUUUGGGUGAAGUUUCUUUUUCCAAUACCAUCAUUGGUGCGGAGCUGUCGGAGCACACGCAACAGUUGUCCUCAGAGCACACAAUGACUCGUCCAGACCUGCGCACACCCAUCCAUGUGGAGUCUUCAGACACAGUAGACAAGACAUUGAUCUCUACAACUCGAAGUGCACUUUGGAAAGUGAAUUGCCUCUUUGCAGAAGGGAAGUAUAUGUGGUUAUUGAGGUCUUGAAUCUUAGUGUGAACACUUAAACAGUUGUGCUUGUGGUUCUGUGACGGUUCAGUGCGGGUGUGGUCAUGCACCGAGCUGCUGCAGUUUGGUUCAGUGCGUUGCUUGAUCGAGUCCAAAAUGGCCACUGGAAUAGAAAUCUCAACCUUAUCCUCAUCGUGGAUACCAACAGUGCUGGAGAAAAUGUUCUCAUGUCCAGCAGCAAGGGCAGGACUCCUUGUGACGCAUCUUAGGUCGUGAUAGACGUCAUCUUUCUCAGGAAGCGAGAUACACUGAACCAAAAGAGAAACGGACUCUGCACUCACCUUCUGCGAGUCCUGCCUUGCUGUUUCGCAGCUCCUUUCCUCUUUUGGACUGAGGGUGAAAGUAUGACCAAUCACUUUGUGAGUCUGACUGAGUGUGUUUGAGUCUGCCAAUUUGUAUAGAUUCAAAGGUGAACCAUUCGGACUGUCAUGUUCCCCAUCAGCUUCAAGAUGCCUUUCCUUCUCUGGACUGAGGGCGAAAGUCUGUCCAAUUACUUUGGACGAUGCGUGAGUCUGACCGAGUGUGUUUGAGAUGUACAGAUUCAAAGGUGGACUGGCAUGGUCCCCAUUGGCUUCAGAAGGCACUUUCUCUGUUGUGAGGUCUUUUGCACCUAUCUGUGAGAUUUUCCCCCAAUCCUUGGGUAGGUCAAAGCUCAACAUCGACCCAAGGGGGAUAACGCCAUAGUGGCUCUUGUCUUGCCUAAUGGUGAUCUCAUUGGGCCCAUGCAAGAAAUGCCCCUGGAUGGUAGGAACGGUAGGAAUGCUUGACGUGUCUGAAGAGUUUCCAUCUAUGACACUCACCACAGAAUUAUUUUUGAUAUACAGUUGGAGUUCUGUAUUAACUGGACUCCCUUGUUUGGCAUGGCAUUCCUUCUUAUCCUCCAGUGGCCAGGUGUAGGCUCUGUGCGUGGCGCCGAUGGGCACGGUAGUAACCCCCUCCGGCUUGGGCAUUCCGACAAUGCCAGUCACAGUGUGCCUGUGUGUAAUUUUCUUCCUCCUCUUCAUCGGUCCCUUCAGGUUUAAGGUAGAGGUGGAACUGGUUCUGGGUAAGGUGGGGAGCAAGACAGUCCUGACUUGGGGUAUGAAAGUGGCGUUGGUUGAGCUUGUGGAAACGGUGGUCGACACGUGGCUCGUGUCUGUGAUAUGAGGCGAUGCCACCUCUUCAAAAACAGGACUUCCAUCUGUGACUUGCAGAUAGGUGCUCACCUGAAAAAGAUUUAGAUAAUUGGAUGUAUUAAAAUACAAAACUCUUCAAAAUGAGACUUUCAUUAUCCUUGAAGUUAAAUGCUUAUGCAACCAUGAUCAAAGACAUCUUAGAUUAAUUUACGAAGAACCAAUUUGAUACUCG
ensembl:lncRNA